rnacentral:rRNA from 1 species
UACAGAGGUCCCAAGCGUUGUUCGGAUUCACUGGGCGUAAAGGGUGCGUAGGCGGUCGGGUAAGUCUGAUGUGAAAUCUCACAGCUUAACUGUGAAACUGCAUUGGAUACUAUCCGGCUCGAGGAAUGGAGGGGAGACUGGAAUACUUGGUGUGGCAGUGAAAUGCGUAGAUAUCAAGUGGAACACCAGUGGCGAAGGCGGCGUCCUGGCCUGCGACUGACGCUGUGGCGCGAAAGCUAGGGGAGCGAACGGG